rnacentral:rRNA from 1 species
CAACGAAUAUUCCGCAAUGGACGCAAGCCUGACGGAGCGACACCGCGUGCAGGAUGAAGGCCUUCGGGUUGUAAACUGCUGUCACGUUUUCGGAAUGGCGCAGCGUUAAUAGCGCUGCGCUUGACCAUGGCGAAAGGAAGCACCGGCUAACUCUGUGCCAGCAGCCGCGGUAAGACAGAGGGUGCAAACGUUGUUCGGAAUUACUGGGCAUAAAGAGCACGUAGGUGGUCUGCUAAGUCAUGUGUGAAAUCCCCCGGCUCAACCGGGGAAUUGCGCCUGAUACUGGCAGGCUUGAGGUCGGUAGGGGUGAGUGGAACUCCAGGUGGAGCGGUGAAAUGCGUAGAUAUCUGGAGGAACACCGGUGGCGAAGGCGGCUCACUGGACCGAAUCUGACACUGAGGUGCGAAAGCUAGGGUAGCAAACGGGAUUAGAUACCCAAGUAGUCCCUGAGCGGGCUGGCAAGGCGCAU